GUUUGAUCCUGGCUCAGAACGAACGCUGGCGGCAUGCCUAACACAUGCAAGUCGAACGAAGGCUUCGGCCUUAGUGGCGCACGGGUGCGUAACGCGUGGGAAUCUGCCCUUAGGUUCGGAAUAACAGCUGGAAACGGCUGCUAAUACCGGAUGAUAUCGCGAGAUCAAAGAUUUAUCGCCUGAGGAUGAGCCCGCGUUGGAUUAGGUAGUUGGUGGGGUAAAGGCCUACCAAGCCGACGAUCCAUAGCUGGUCUGAGAGGAUGAUCAGCCACACUGGGACUGAGACACGGCCCAGACUCCUACGGGAGGCAGCAGUGGGGAAUAUUGGACAAUGGGCGAAAGCCUGAUCCAGCAAUGCCGCGUGAGUGAUGAAGGCCCUAGGGUUGUAAAGCUCUUUUACCCGGGAAGAUAA
rnacentral:rRNA from 1 species